UACAGAGGUCUCAAGCGUUGUUCGGAUUCAUUGGGCGUAAAGGGUGUGUAGGUGGCGCGCUAAGUCGGGUGUGAAAUUUCGGAGCUUAACUCCGAAACUGCAUUCGAUACUGGCGUGCUUGAGGACUGGAGAGGAGACUGGAAUCCAUGGUGUAGCAGUGAAAUGCGUAGAGAUGCGGAGGAACACCGAUGGCGAAGGCAGCCCCCUGGGCUAGCACUGACGCUCAGGCACGAAAGCGUGGGGAGCAAACAGG
rnacentral:rRNA from 1 species